rnacentral:rRNA from 1 species
ACGGGUGAGUAACACGUGGGUAACCUGCCCUGUACUCUGGGAUAAGCCUUGGAAACGAGGUCUAAUACCGGAUACGACCUUUGAUCGCAUGAUCAGGGGUGGAAAGUUCCGGCGGUAUGGGAUGGACCCGCGGCCUAUCAGCUUGUUGGUGGGGUAAUGGCCUACCAAGGCGACGACGGGUAGCCGGCUUGAGAGGGUGACCGGCCACACUGGGACUGAGACACGGCCCAGACUCCUACGGGAGGCAGCAGUGGGGAAUAUUGCACAAUGGGCGAAAGCCUGAUGCAGCGACGCCGCGUGAGGGAUGACGGCCUUCGGGUUGUAAACCUCUUUCAGCAGGGACGAAGCGCAAGUGACGGUACCUGCAGAAGAAGCACCGGCUAACUACGUGCCAGCAGCCGCGGUAAUACGUAGGGUGCGAGCGUUGUCCGGAAUUAUUGGGCGUAAAGAGCUCGUAGGCGGUUUGUCGCGUCGGCCGUGAAAACUUGGGGCUUAACUCCAAGCUUGCGGUCGAUACGGGCAGACUUGAGUUCGGCAGGGGAGACUGGAAUUCCUGGUGUAGCGGUGAAAUGCGCAGA